GCAUUGGUGACUCAGUGGCUGAAUUCUCACCUGCCAUAUGGGAGAUUCAGGUUCUAUUCCCGGCCAGUGCA
rnacentral:tRNA from 1 species